UCAUAGUCAAAAUUUCCAUUACCUGAAGUCUGACAACUAAUGGCUUGAUGUGAUAAUACUGGCUGCUUUCCAGUACUUCGUUGAUUCUCCAUGUUCUCUUACACUUGAGUGCUGAAGACACCCAGGAGCUGGCUUACACUGUGCCAGUACUACUAGUCUGCAUGCUGGGGGCAAACAGAAGGCAGGAGGAUACUACACACUGUACUAUGAAUAAGUUUGUAAACAAAGACCUUCACCAGUGA
rnacentral:lncRNA from 1 species